rnacentral:rRNA from 1 species
UGCAGUCGAGCGGUAACAGGAAGAGCUUGCUGCUUCGCUGACGAGUGGAGGACGGGUGACUAAUGUCUGGGAAACUGCCUGAAGGAGGGGGAUAACUACUGGAAACGGUAACUAAUACCGCAUAACGUCGCAAGACCAAAGAGGGGGACCUUCGGGCCUCUUGCCAUCGGAUGUGCCCAGAUGGGAUUAGCUAGUAGGUGGGGUAACGGCUCACCUAGGCGACGAUCCCUAACUGGUCUGAGAGGAUGACCAGUCACACUGGAACUGAGACACGGUCCAGACUCCUACGGGAGGCAGCAGUGGGGAAUAUUGCACAAUGGGCGCAGGCCUGAUGCAUCCAUGCCGCGUGUAUGAAGAAGGCCUUCGGGUUGUAAAGUACUUUCCUCGGGGAGGAAGGGAGUAAAGUUAAUACCUUUGCUCAUUGACGUUACCCGCAGAAGAAGCACCGGCUAACUCCGUGCCUACAGCCGCGGUAAUACGGAGGGUGCAAGCGUUAAUCGGAAUUACUGGGCGUAAAGCGCACGCAGGCGGUUUGUUAAGUCAGAUGUGAAAUCCCCGGGCUCAACCUGGGAACUGCAUCUGAUACUGGCAAGCUUGAGUCUCGUAGAGGGGGGUAGAAUUCCAGGUGUAGCGGUGAAAUGCGUGAGAGAUCUGGAGGAAUACCGGUGGCGAAGGCGGCCCCCCUGGACGAACUACUGACGUCUCUGGUGCUAAAGCGUGGAGGAG